GACGGAGGGUGCUAGCGUUGUUCGGAUUGACUGGGCGUAAAGGGCGUGUAGGCGGUUGGCCCAGUCCGGUGUGAAAUCCCGAGGCUUAGCCUCGGAAGUGCAUCGGAAACUAGCCGACUGGAGCGCGAUAGAGGAGGGUGGAAUUCCUGGUGUAGCGGUGAAAUGCGUAGAUAUCAGGAGGAACACCGGCGGCGAAGGCGGCCCUCUGGAUCGUUGCUGACGCUGAGGAGCGAAAGCGUGGGGAGCGAACAGG
rnacentral:rRNA from 1 species